ACGAACGCUGGCGGCAUGCCUAACACAUGCAAGUCGAACGAGACCUUUGGGUCUAGUGGCGCACGGGUGCGUAACGCGUGGGAAUCUGCCCUUGGGUUCGGAAUAACAGUGAGAAAUUGCUGCUAAUACCGGAUGAUGUCUUCGGACCAAAGAUUUAUCGCCCAGGGAUGAGCCCGCGUAGGAUUAGCUAGUUGGUGGGGUAAUGGCCUACCUAGGCGACGAUCCUUAGCUGGUCUGAGAGGAUGAUCAGCCACACUGGCACUGAGACACGGCCCAGACUCCUACGGGAGGCAGCAGUGGGGAAUAUUGGACAAUGGGCGCAAGCCUGAUCCAGCAAUGCCGCGUGAGUGAUGAAGGCCUUAGGGUUGUAAAGCUCUUUUACCAGGGAUGAUAAUGACAGUACCUGGAGAAUAAGCUCCGGCUAACUCCGUG
rnacentral:rRNA from 1 species